ACAUGAUUACAUCAUCAUAAAGUGAGAGAAAACAGGAACAGAAUAUUUCUGACUGCCUGAUUGAUUUUUGAGUCAGAGAUUAAUGUGACGGCAUCUGCCGAGACACUGGUUUCUCUCAUCUCCUUUGCUUUUUCCAUCAGGCAUUUUUGUUGAUGAAAAACCCAUAGAUAAUUGGGGAUCCUUCUGGGGAAAACCUGGUCUUAUUAGGAGAGAUGGCAUCCACCCCACUUUAGAUGGAACAGCUCUCAUUUCUAGAAAUCUGGCCAAAUUUAUUAAACCUCCCAAAACGGGACUAUCCAGAGUUGGGACGAGGAAGCAGACUCUCUGCAGCUUCUCUCCUGUCAUCCCCAUAGAAAUCGUGUUUGCUCCUGUAUCAUCAAAAGACAAGCCAAAAAAAACUAUAUACAAAUUAACAAAGAAAGAUUGAUAUAACACCCUCAACUUCACCUGAGAGUAAAUCAAUUAAAUGUGGACCAUCUAUUGAUAUUCCUUCUCCUCAAAUACAAAAUCUUGAAUACUGAGGCAAUAUCUUAAAGACCUCACAGUAUCUUAUGAACACUUCACUCUCAGACUGCAGGCUUAAUGGUGGAGUUUUCUCAGUCCCUGGCUGUACUUGUAUUAGUCCUUUCUGUGACAAAGUGGAUGAGCAGUUGCAAUGCUCUCCAUUUGUGCCAUAUGCGUUGACCUUUUUUUUUGCACAUUAUACACAUUAUUCUGUUUCUGUUUAUUUGCUAUGAUUUGCUAUUUGUCAAGUAACAUUGCUGCACUCACUAUCCUGGGUUUGCUUGUGUAAGCGUUCCGUUGCUGGCAAAUCAAACAUUCUGCAAAUUAAGGCAAAUACUCAGUUACAUGUUUCUUUAUAUUUUAUUAUGUUACAGAUUAAGUCAUUUAUUCAUACUUACUUUGUUCUGUCUUUUCAGUCUUCAUGAGGGUCAGGUGUAGGGAAAUGCCCGCCUAGCAUUUCCUCAUUUUAAAGUCCUGAUGAUGUCACACAUGACAUCGGCAGGUCAAACCAAGUGGAGGGGUUUCUUUAGAUGCUUCCUUUUGUUUGUGUUAAGGUUUAAAGGGAUUUGUUGAAUGUUUUUCUUUUCAUUAAUAACGCCAUUUAGUUGUGUAAAUGUGCAUAUUAGAAGUGUGAAAAGGUUUUGUGUCUUUUAGAUCAUCUGUGUAGAGUUUUAGAUCCCUCAGUUUGAGUGAGUGGUACUGGCUGGGCUAAUUGGAGGGAAAUUGAUGGCCCUAUUUAAAGCCAGUCUCUACCAGAUUCAAGAGAGAGGAGAGGUGAACUGUGUUACCAGAUCCAUGGUCUGUUGAGGUUUGUUAAUUGAGUUGAUUUGGGGAGAAGUUUUGUUAAGUUACACAUUAAAAUAAGUUCACUAUAAAUAAAUUGCUCACCUCUGGAAACCUGAAAUGUCUGCGUAGUCUGCUUCCCUAUCACCUUCCUUGACGUUCGAGUCUGACUACUUCACAUUUUCCACAAUGUUUCUUCUUCCAUCCCCUCUUGUCAGGUCUCUUUAUAUUAAAUCGUGUCCCUGUUUAGUUAUUGUACUUCACUUCCUGCUUUAUUUUGUCAGGUAUUUGUGCCUUGUGCUUUGCUUUUAGUUUUACUUCCCCUUUCUUGUCUUCUGAUUUAAUUCAGCUGUGUUGUGUCCCAGGUGUCUCCACUUUGCGCUAAUCACCUUUCUGUGUAUGAAUAGUUGCCGUCUCUAUUUUUAAUGGACCUAUGGACAUUUAUUUAUUUAUUUUUAAAAUCAAGUUCUGCUUCAUAAGUCCUUUUUCAUACAAAUCUCUGAUAGAAGGCUCUGACAACAACAUAAACCAAGCAGACUCUGGGCUUGUUUUGGAAGAGUAGCUGAGGUGUUUCAAGUUAACUCUCAUUUUUCUGUAUGGGGAGUUGUUCAAGCUUAUCCCAGCAGCUGCCCCAUCUCAACCUGAAGCUCCAGCGAUGAUGCAGCCCAGCACUCAAGCCACAUCACCAGGAGUCAGCAAGAGAAGGCAAGGCUCACAGCGGUGGAUUCAGGAAUGUGAGCCCGGAGUCACAAUUACCUCAGCAGUGUCUUCUUGCAGUGCUGCCCAGCUUUCCAGCCGCUUCCCUGGCUAGGCUGUGGGCAGAGGACUAUAAGCUUGUAGCUGUUGCUCUGGCUGGUCUCUCAUCCAAAAGGAAGCAGAACUCCCGCCUUUGUCUCUUUUUCCCAGCCAGAGCCAGCUUAUUUGCCCAUGUUUGCUAAUUCCUGUGGCUCUGAAAAUAUCUCCAGUGCUGGUAAAUUGCAAUAGUGCUUCCCAUCUUUGAGUUGACCAGCAAUAAAAUGGCACGAUUAAGACUGAAUUUUCUUUUUCUGAGCCUGAUAGUAUAGAAAAUGAGUUUUUUAAUGCUGAGCAUCAUGAGUUAGAGCUAGAGCUCCUAGAGCUCCAGCCAUCAGAGGAGAUUGCUCUGCUGAGCAGCCCGAGCUUUUAGAGCUACCUGAAUAUUCUGCAC